GGAUAGGGGUUCUGAGAGGAAGGUCCCCCACAUUGGAACUGAGACACGGUCCAAACUCCUACGGGAGGCAGCAG
rnacentral:rRNA from 1 species